CCUCGUCCCGAUGGUCAUCUUAUCCUUGCACAUGGCAGUCUUUGCAACUUCAGCUGUGGGGAACUCAACAAAGGCUUCGCCGGUAGCCUUACCAUCGGAGCGGUAUGCAAUAUGCACAUUCUCCUCUGUCAGCUCAUACUCCAGGAAGAACUUGAUGAUGUCCUCGGUGGUGGCAGAGUAGGGAAGGCCACGGAGCUUCAGCACCUCAGUGUACUCCAUGCUGCCCUUGUCUUCCGCUGGCUUCUUCGGCCUUGGAGGUGGUGGGGAGCGGCGGUACUCUGGCUCAAAGUACCCACCUUGGUUCACCUCAUUGGCUAUUGCACAGUAGUACUCCUGUUUCUUGCAUCUGAACACCUCAACAUAUCUCCGGCCCAUGUUCUGCCUGUUGCGAUGCAGAGCAAAUUCUGCUUGCAUGGCCCCCUGGAAGACCACAAAAGCCUCACCAGUAAAGCGGCCAUUCUUGUUAACCAGGAGGCAAUCCACUAUUUCCAGCCCCGCAAAGAACUUGCAGAUGUCAAUUUCGUUGCAAUCAAAAGGGAGUCCUCGCAGCCGGACACCUGGAAAGUUUUGGAUGCCAGUGCUAACCCCUGCACCAGCUAAGUUGCUGCUGAAGGGCUGGUAGAAGCCACCGCUGGCACCACCAGCGUUGCUGCCCAUAGCCCCAAAAUAGGGAGGGCCUGGUUCCAUCAUCCUGGCCCUCUUUGAGACAUCCAAUGGACUCCCUGCGUUCACUGCGAAGUAGGGAUUCGAUUCCAUCAUCAUUCGUGGCCUCUUUGAUCCCUCGUACCCAUCCGAAACCCCCCAGCCUCCCAUCAUUGCCCUUCAGAUAAUCCAGAGUCCCAAAAAGAGAAAAGAAAAGGAGAAUAACCCCCCAUCUCUCAAUCCCGAUUUCAAAUAAUAACCCAAAUAUAAAGAUAACUGUGCAGAAAAGAAAUACUCCCUCCGUUUUUAAAUAUAUGAUGUUUAGGACAAUGUAAACAUCAUAUAUUCAAAAACGGAGGGAAUAGUGCAGACAGCAAGGACAACAUGUAGUAAAACAAGCCAUAAUUUUUAGUCAAAACACAAUGAAAUUUGAGUCCCAAUAUUACUGUUGACAGCAUUUAUAAGAGCAAAUUUUGGGCUAUGACUGGAGUUUAUCUGAACACUUGAAUGUCAUGUGUUUAGUGCAGUGAAUAAUAUAUAUGACUCUGGCUAAAUUUCUAAUAUUAUAUUUGAUUGCUUUAAGUACAUGGACAAAAUUUACAGUUUACAUUAAUAAUGAGCUGAAACCUUAUCCUCUAGAUGAAAUUUGAGCCAUGUACAGAAGUUGAAUUAUAAGUUUACAUCGUGUGCUUGAUCACAAUUGGACGGUAUAGUUAGAAUUCAGAUAAGGACAAAAAAAUUUCAAGUAUCACAACAAGAACAAAUUAUCUUAGAAACACCCUAUUCUGAUAUUUUGCUACUGUAAAGGAAUCAAACCAAAUAUUGCUAAUUAAUCAACACGGCACACAACUUAUUUGGCACAAAUUCGCUCAGGACUAUUUCGGUGCCCAAUAAUUUCCCAUGUGGUACUAAGAGAGUGCACGAAAUUAACAGCCCAAAAUCCCGUCACCUAGCAUCUUAGUCGAUGAAUUGCAUGCGGCAUCAAUUUGGUCCACAGCCAGCGGCGGAUUUUGCCGUCGGCAAGGGGUUCAGAUGAACCCCCAAUAAUCCCGGCGCAUAAGCCCAAUCUAAUACUUAUAUUAACCAAUUCGCGAUGAACUAGAUGGAUUGUUUCGGGUUCAGGGAACAUAUUAUCACUAAAAUUCAGGGGCUCACAUCAAAGGGCGGAUUCUAAGGCAGAAUAAGCGAGCAAUCACGCCAAUCAAGCUAGGGCAUCGCAACCAGUAAAAGAGGAAUAAGCAGCUGGGGAUAAGGGGGAGAGGUGCAGAUGCGGCCCAAGCAUACCUGGAUCUGGAAGGAGGCGUGUUCAUCUGGAUCGGCCGACGACCGGCGGGGUGGCGGAGGAGAGGGCGCCCGGUCGCGGUCAGGAGAGGGGACUCUGCCUCGGGCGGCUAGGG
rnacentral:lncRNA from 1 species